rnacentral:rRNA from 1 species
UACGUAGGGUGCAAGCGUUGUCCGGAAUUAUUGGGCGUAAAGAGCUCGUAGGCGGUUUGUCGCGUCGAAUGUGAAAACCCGGGGCUCAACCCCGGGCCUGCAUUCGAUACGGGCAGACUAGAGUUCGGUAGGGGAGUCUGGAAUUCCUGGUGUAGCGGUGAAAUGCGCAGAUAUCAGGAGGAACACCGGUGGCGAAGGCGGCAUCCUGGACCGACAUUGACGCUGAUGAGCGAAAGCUAGGGGAGCAAACGGG